rnacentral:rRNA from 1 species
GACGAACGCUGGCGGCGUGCUUAACACAUGCAAGUCGAACGGAAAGGCCCUGCUUUUGUGGUGUGCUCGAGUGGCGAACGGGUGCGUAACACGUGAGUAACCUGCCCUUGACUUUGGGAUAACUUCAGGAAACUGGGGCUAAUACCGGAUAGGAGCUCCUGCUGCAUGGUGGGGGUUGGAACGUUUCGGCGGUUGGGGUUGGACUCGCGGCUUAUCAGCUUGUUGGUGGGGUAGUGGCUUACCAAGGCUUUGACGGGUAGCCGGCCUGAGAGGGUGACCGGCCACAUGGGGACUGAGAUACGGCCCAGACUCCUACGGGAGGCAGCAGUGGGGAAUAUUGCACAAUGGGCGGAAGCCUGAUGCAGCAACGCCGCGUGCGGGAUGACGGCCUGCGGGUUGUAAACCGCGUUCGCCUGUGACGAAGCGUGAGUGGCGGUAAUGGGUAAAGAAGCACCGGCUAAGUACGUG